GCAAGUCGAACGAUGAAGAUACUGCUUGCAGUAUUGGAUUAGUGGCGCACGGGUGAGUAAUAUAUAGAUAAUGUGCCUCUUAGUCUGGGAUAGCCAUUGGAAACGAUGAUUAAUACUAGAUACUCCUUCUCAUUAUAAUUUGAGUUGGGAAAGUUUUUCGCUAAGAGAUCGGACUAUAUCCCAUCAGCUUGUUGGUAGUGUAAGAGACUACCAAGGCUAUGACGGGUAGCGGGUUUGAGAGGAUGAUC
rnacentral:rRNA from 1 species